GGGUUACCCCCCUCGGUGCCGCAGCUAACGCAUUAAGUACUCCGCCUGGGAAGUACGCUCGCAAGAGUGANACUCAAAGGAAUUGACGGGGACCCGCACAAGUAGCGGAGCAUGUGGUUUAAUUCGAAGCAACGCGAAGAACCUUACCUAAGCUUGACAUCCCAUUGACCUCUCCCUAAUCGGAGAUUUCCCUUCGGGGACAGUGGUGACAGGUGGUGCAUGGUUGUCGUCAGCUCGUGUCGUGAGAUGUUGGGUUAAGUCCCGCAACGAGCGCAACCCUUGCCUUUAGUUGCCAGCAUUAAGUUGGGCACUCUAGAGGGACUGCCGAGGAUAACUCGGAGGAAGGUGGGGAUGACGUCAAAUCAUCAUGCCCCUUAUGCUUAGGGCUACACACGUGCUACAAUGGGUGGUACAGAGGGUUGCCAAACCGUGAGGUGGAGCUAAUCCCUUAAAGCCAUUCUCAGUUCGGAUUGUAGGCUGAAACUCGUCUACAUGAAGCUGGAGUUACUAGUAAUCGCAGAUCAGAAUGCUGCGGUGAUGCGUUCCCGGGUCUUGUACUCACCGCCCGU
rnacentral:rRNA from 1 species